GCACCCGAUCUUUCCCAUUCCUGCUGCUUCGUGCUGGUCUGGGGACAGAUGGUGCUACACUAUGAGCAGAGGAUAUCCAGACGGGUUGUUUUCCAUUUGUCUUGGGACCUGUCUCUACAACUCUGCCACAUUU
rnacentral:snoRNA from 1 species